UACGUAGGGGGCUAGCGUUGUCCGGAAUCAUUGGGCGUAAAGCGCGUGUAGGCGGCCCGGUAAGUCCGCUGUGAAAGUCCAGGGCUCAACCCUGGGAUGCCGGUGGAUACUGUCGGGCUCGAGUCCGGAAGAGGCGAGUGGAAUUCCCGGUGUAGAGGUGAAAUUCGUAGAUAUCGGGAGGAACACCAGUGGCGAAGGCGGCGAUCUGGGAAGAUACUGACGCUGAGGUGCGAAAGCGUGGGGAGCAAACAGG
rnacentral:rRNA from 1 species